rnacentral:rRNA from 1 species
UACGUAGGGGGCAAGCGUUGUCCGGAAUCAUUGGGCGUAAAGCGCGUGUAGGCGGUUCGAUAAGUCUGCUGUGAAAGUCCAGGGCUCAACCCUGGGAUGCCGGUGGAUACUGUCGGACUAGAGUACGGAAGAGGCGAGUGGAAUUCCCGGUGUAGCUGGUGAAAUGCGCAGAUAUCGGGAGGAACACCAAUUGCGAAGGCAGCUCGCUGGGACGUCGACUGACGCUGAGACGCGAAAGCGUGGG